rnacentral:rRNA from 1 species
UACGUAGGGUGCAAGCGUUGUCCGGAAUUAUUGGGCGUAAAGAGCUCGUAGGCGGUUUGUCGCGUCUGCUGUGAAAACCCGGGGCUCAACUCCGGGCUUGCGGGCGAUACGGGCAGGCUAGAGUUCGGUAGGGGAGACUGGAAUUCCUGGUGUAGCGGUGAAAUGCGCAGAUAUCAGGAGGAACACCGGUGGCGAAGGCGGGUCUCUGGGCCGAUACUGACGCUGAGGCACGAAAGCGUGGGGAGCAAACAGG